AGUGAACGCUGGCGGUAGGCCUAACACAUGCAAGUCGAACGGCAGCACAGUAAGAGCUUGCUCUUACGGGUGGCGAGUGGCGGACGGGUGAGGAGUACAUCGGAAUCUACUUUUUCGUGGGGGAUAACGUAGGGAAACUUACGCUAAUACCGCAUACGACCUACGGGUGAAAGCAGGGGAUCUUCGGACCUUGCGCGAUUGAAUGAGCCGAUGUCGGAUUAGCUAGUUGGCGGAGUAAAGGCCCACCAAGGCGACGAUCCGUAGCUGGUCUGAGAGGAUGAUCAGCCACACUGGAACUGAGACACGGUCCAGACUCCUACGGGAGGCAGCAGUGGGGAAUAUUGGACAAUGGGCGCAAGCCUGAUCCAGCCAUACCGCGUGGGUGAAGAAGGCCUUCGGGUUGUAAAGCCCUUUUGUUGGGAAAGAAAAGCAGCAGGUUAAUACCCCGCUGUUCUGACGGUACCCAAAGAAUAAGCACCGGCUAACUUCGUG
rnacentral:rRNA from 1 species